rnacentral:rRNA from 1 species
CUCCUACGGGAGGCAGCAGUAGGGAAUCUUCGGCAAUGGGGGCAACCCUGACCGAGCAACGCCGCGUGAGUGAAGAAGGUUUUCGGAUCGUAAAGCUCUGUUGUAAGCGAAGAACGUGUGUGGGAGUGGAAAAUCCACACAAUGACGGUAGCUUACCAGAAAGGGACGGCUAACUACGUGCCAGCAGCCGCGGUAAUACGUAGGUCCCGAGCGUUAUCCGGAUUUAUUGGGCGUAAAGCGAGCGCAGGCGGUUAGAUAAGUCUGAAGUUAAAGGCUGUGGCUCAACCAUAGUUUGCUUUGGAAACUGUUUAACUUGAGUGCAAGAGGGGAGAGUGGAAUUCCAUGUGUAGCGGUGAAACGCGUAGAUAUAUGGAGGAACACCUGUGGCGAAAGCGGCUCUCUGGCUUGUAACUGACGCUGAGGCUCGAAAGCGUGGGUAGCGAACAGGAUUAGAUACCCUGGUAGUCCACGCCGUAAACGAUGAGUGCUAGGUGUUAGGCCCUUUCCGGGGCUUAGUGCCGCAGCUAACGCAUUAAGCACUCCGCCUGGGGAGUACGACCGCAAGGUUGAAACUCAAAGGAAUUGACGGGGGCCCGCACAAGCGGUGGAGCAUGUGGUUUAAUUCGAAGCAACGCGAAGAACCUUACCAGGUCUUGACAUCCCAGUGACCGCUCUAGAGAUAGAGUUUCCCUUCGGGGCACUGGUGACAGGUGGUGCAUGGUUGUCGUCAGCUCGUGUCGUGAGAUGUUGGGUUAAGUCCCGCAACGAGCGCAACUCCUAUUGUUAGUUGCCAUCAUUUAGUUGGGCACUCUAGCGAGACUGCCGGUAAUAAACCGGAGGAAGGUGGGGAUGACGUCAAAUCAUCAUGCCCCUUAUGACCUGGGCUACACACGUGCUACAAUGGCUGGUACAACGAGUCGCAAGUCGGUGACGGCAAGCUAAUCUCUUAAAGCCAGUCUCAGUUCGGAUUGUAGGCUGCAACUCGCCUACAUGAAGUCGGAAUCGCUAGUAAUCGCGGAUCAGCACGCCGCGGUGAAUACGUUCCCGGGUCUUGUACACACGC